rnacentral:rRNA from 1 species
AGAGCGAACGCUGGCGGCGUGCUUAACACAUGCAAGUCGAACGCGCAGCAUUCUGUAGCAAUACAGGAUGUGGGCGCGUGGCGAACGGGUGCGUAACACGUGGAUAACCUUCCUUCAGGUGGGGAAUAACCCAGCGAAAGUUGGGCUAAUACCGCAUAACAUGACGAUGCCACAUGGUGUUGUCUUCAAAGGCGCAAGUCGCCAGAAGAGGGAUCCGCGGCCGAUUAGCUUGUUGGCGAGGUAAUGGCUCACCAAGGCAUUGAUCGGUAGCCGGACUGAGAGGUUGGCCGGCCACACUGGAACUGAGACACGGUCCAGACUCCUACGGGAGGCAGCAGUGGGGAAUCUUGCACAAUGGACGAAAGUCUGAUGCAGCAACGCCGCGUGGGGGAUGAAGCUUCUCGGAGUGUAAACCCCUUUCGACCUGGACGAAUGCCCGCAAGGGUUUGACGGUACGGGUAUAAGAAGCCCGGCUAACUACGCGCCAGCA